UAAUACAGAGGGUGCGAGCGUUAAUCGGAGUUACUGGGCGUAAAGGGCGCGUAGGCGGUUAUUUAAGUUAGAUGUGAAAUCCCUGGGCUUAACCUAGGAACUGCAUCUAAUACUGGGUAACUAGAGUACUGUAGAGGAUAGUGGAAUUUCCGGUGUAGCGGUGAAAUGCGUAGAGAUCGGAAGGAACACCAGUGGCGAAGGCGGCUAUCUGGACAGAUACUGACGCUGAGGCGCGAGAGCGUGGGGAGCAAACAGGAUUAGAUACCCUGGUAGUCCACGCUGUAAACGAUGAGAACUAGAUGUUGGUAGGCAUGACCUAUUAGUAUCGAAGCUAACGCGAUAAGUUCUCCGCCUGGGGAGUACGGCCGCAAGGCUA
rnacentral:rRNA from 1 species